GUGAAGAACGCAGCGAAAUGCGAUAAUUAAUGUGAAUUGCAGAAUUCCGUGAAUCAUCGAGUCUUUGAACGCACAUUGCGCCUCAUGGCAUUCCGUGAGGCAUGCCCAUCUCAGCGUUAGAAAAUAUUCUCAAAUUUUAGUUUUGUGCUAAAAUUUGGAUCAUGUCAAGGAAGCUAUUACUAUUAUUGUGAUCGCUCUUUGGAAAUUGAUAGGUCUUUGAGUUGCUACUCAUAGAACGUGAUGAAUCUUUCUUCGUUCUAUUGUAAUUCACUCUGGUAGUCCUAAAACUUGUAUGCCUGUGGCAUAUCUUGUAAUUUGACCUGAGAUUGGGUAGGGAUACCCGCUGAACUUAAGCAUAUCAAUAAGCGGAGGA
rnacentral:misc_RNA from 1 species